AGAGUUUGAUCCUGGCUCAGGACGAACGCUGGCGGCGUGCUUAACACAUGCAAGUCGAACGGAAAGGCCCUUCGGGGUACUCGAGUGGCGAACGGGUGAGUAACACGUGGGUGAUCUGCCCUGCACUUUGGGAUAAGCCUGGGAAACUGGGUCUAAUACCGAAUAUGACCAUGCGCCUCCUGGUGUGUGGUGGAAAGCUUUUGCGGUGUGGGAUGGGCCCGCGGCCUAUCAGCUUGUUGGUGGGGUGAUGGCCUACCAAGGCGACGACGGGUAGCCGGCCUGAGAGGGUGACCGGCCACACUGGGACUGAGAUACGGCCCAGACUCCUACGGGAGGCAGCAGUGGGGAAUAUUGCACAAUGGGCGCAAGCCUGAUGCAGCGACGCCGCGUGAGGGAUGACGGCCUUCGGGUUGUAAACCUCUUUCAGUGCCGACGAAGCGCAAGUGACGGUAGGCAUAGAAGAAGGACCGGCCAACUACGUGCCAGCAGCCGCGGUAAUACGUAGGGUCCGAGCGUUGUCCGGAAUUACUGGGCGUAAAGAGCUCGUAGGUGGUUUGUCGCGUUGUUCGUGAAAACUCACAGCUUAACUGUGGGCGUGCGGGCGAUACGGGCAGACUUGAGUACUGCAGGGGAGACUGGAAUUCCUGGUGUAGCGGUGGAAUGCGCAGAUAUCAGGAGGAACACCGGUGGCGAAGGCGGGUCUCUGGGCAGUAACUGACACUGAGGCACGAAAGCGUGGGGAGCAAACAGGAUUAGAUACCCUGGUAGUCC
rnacentral:rRNA from 1 species